GACGAACGCUGGCGGCGUGCCUAAUACAUGCAAGUAGAACGCUGAAGGAGGAGCUUGCUUCUCUGGAUGAGUUGCGAACGGGUGAGUAACGCGUAGGUAACCUGCCUGGUAGCGGGGGAUAACUAUUGGAAACGAUAGCUAAUACCGCAUAAUAGUAGAUGUUGCAUGACAUUUGCUUAAAAGGUGCAAUUGCAUCACUACCAGAUGGACCUGCGUUGUAUUAGAUAGUUGGUGGGGUAACGGCUCACCAAGUCGACGAUACAUAGCCGACCUGAUAGGGUGAUCGGCCACACUGGGACUGAGGCAAGGCCCAGACUCCUACGGGAGGCAGCAGUAGGGAAUCUUCGGGAAUGGACGGAAGUCUGGCCGAGCAACGCCGCGUGGGUGAAGAAGGUUUUCCGAUCGUAAAGCUCUGUUGUAAGAGAAGAACGAGUGUGAGAGUGGAAAGUUCACACUGUGACGGUAUCUUACCAGAAAGGGACGGCUAACUACGUG
rnacentral:rRNA from 1 species